GCGCCAGAGCGCAGCAUGCACCUUUCACUACCUUCGCAACCUUCCACGUGCGAUUAUUAACAUAAUGUUUUCCAUCGUAGAUCGCUUUUCGCGCAACGACGGCUUUCAUGAUCUGACAUACGCGCACGUCCAAGCCUAAGCAAAGCACUAACUCGAGAACUGGUUUUGCCGCGGAAUAUCCGAGUCACCGAACAAAGAAGACGGAAUCGAUUACGAUUAUGGUAUCCAAGAGAUAUGAUAUCCAAAUGUAUCAAGAGAUACGAUAGUAGAAGAAAAAACCGCGAUGAGAGAUAUUUACGGACACGACAGCAUGACUGGAAGUAAUCGCGUGGCAUCAAUAUUAGCCCGGUCUGGUCAAGAAUAGCCCAGGUGGGAAUCCCGUCUGACCACCUUGCGCCCUGAGAUCGGUCGGCGUCUAAAUUAGGGUGAAUGUGCCGUUGGAGGCAUAUUUUGCAUAUAUUAUCGUUAUUCAGUUAUCGAGUGGCCGUAUCAUGAUGCGACUGCUAAUAAUCGACACAAUUUUUGUUACGCGAGCUACGCAUAAUAUCGCUGUAAAUUUAACGAUCGGAAACAAAGCGGAGAUAAACAAAAUCAUACAUUGUGUUAUGGUAUAUGUAUAUCACUUAAAUUAAUGCACCAACUUACUUAUAUAUAGAGAGAAACAGCGUUAAUUUGUAGAAGUAGAGAAAUUUUCUAAUAAAGAAAUUAUGUGUAUCUCAUCAUUUAUAAUAUUAAUAAGAGAAACAAUAUCUUAUUAAAAUAUUUAGCGUUACUCGACAUUCAUUUUUAUUAAAUGAUUUGAGUAAGAUUACUCGCUACAAAUAAUAUGUACAAAGUAAAGUUGUUUCAUUAAUUAUUUACAUAGAGAGAUUACAUAAUAUAUCUUAUAUAAAAAUUUAAUUAAUUACAUAAGAUUUCACAUGUAAUAAGUAAUAGUAAAGCUUUAUAUUGGCCAUGUAUGGAAUUACUUCUAUCUUUUCGUGCAUUUUUAUUUUUUUGAUUUUGAUUGGUAAAGUUUCAAUUAUGUUAUCUUAUUUUUAUUUUUGAACGCCGUGAAAACACCUCCAUUUAAUCGAAACUAAAAAUGUCAACUUGUCGAUUGUUACAAUACUUAUUUUCAACUUUACCGACUUACAUUUCUAUAUCGCUUUGACAUCAAAGUGACGGCAUCUUUCGUCAAGUCCAUGAAAUUUUAAAUGAUUAAAGCACUGUUUUAUUCAACAUCGCCCAGAUCUUUUAUUUGUAAAAAUAUGAACUGUUUUUUUUCGUUGUUUUACUUUUUUUUUAAAUGAAUAUUUUAAGAGAUAUUUGUAAUAUGUUUAUCAAAAGUUUAAAUAUAUAUUAAUAUUAUAAGGUAAAUCUCUUAGUAGAGCGACAUUUCAUAUAACUCUAAAUUAUUCUAAAAUAAAAUAGUAUCAGAAGAUUGGAAAUAACAAAGCAUAAUAACAAUUAAUUUAUACUCAUAUUAUUUGGUUUACAGAAGUUAUUUAACAAACAUAUAGAUUGAAUCUAAAAAUCAGUCUGUAUAUAUAUAUAUAGACAUUCUUUUUUACAAACAUAUAAAUAUAGUCAGUUACAAAAAUAAAUGGAAUUUUUUUAUUCGGUUCUUGUCGCUUUGCAAAUUAUUACAAGCUACAUUUUGCAAAAUAUACGUUCGUAUAUAAAUUAAUUAUUGUUAAUGUAAGAUAUAUCGUCGCAAGAUUUUUGUAAAAAUUUGUAUCGUAUAAUAUUGUUUGUAGACUUAUAUAUGGAUUGUAUAUUAUUAUUAUUAUUAACUACAUUAUAUUAAAGCUAGUAUAUUAUUAUUAGCUUUAUUAUUAGUACAUUUCGUGAUCGGUAUCACCAACAACGGAACUAUGAUAAAAUGUGAUGUGUGAAAAUAUUUGAAAUAGUUAAAAAUAUUUCUCGUUGCUGGUGAAACCGAAAUUUGCUGAACACAUUUUCAUCUCUCCACAAAUACAGCGUUUUUAAUCAGAAAUACCACAUUAUAUUAUUACAAUUCGAUAUAAACAUAUAGAUCAUUGAAAUAAAUUCAGUUAGCGGAAAAAGAAGUUAUGAAAUUACUUGAAUGCAUUCUAUGUCAUAUUAUUUACCAAAUAGAAAAUUAUAAAGAAUUAGAAUAUUAUUUUAUAUUGAAGUUGUUUUCAUAAAAUAGAAAUAACAAGAUACAUGCAUCUAAGGGAUAUUGGAAGACAUUUAAUUAUCAAUAUAACGAAAAUAUUAAAAUAAAUAGAUAUGCAAACUAUUAAUCUUGUUUCAAAAAUUAGAAUCUAAACAAGCUUAUCCUUUUUUUUACAUAUGCAAUAUAUAAUAUAUGAGGAGUUUCAAAGAACAUUCACUGAUUGUGUUAACUACUGAGAAUAUUAAAUGUUACGCAGCAUAUGCAUUAAUCAGAAUUUGUGGAGUAUACGCUGUUAAGAUAUUGUUAAUUACAGGUUUGUCUGUGUUAAAAAUGUUAUUGGCCCCAUUCUGACUUCAUUAUAACAACAAUAGCACAAAAUUUCAACCACUAAGUGCUAUAUGUAAAUAUAUAGAGAUAACUCUAAACAAUUUGAACAAUUCUUAUAAACUCAUAACUCAUAAACAUAAAUUGUUUAUAUUUGAUAAUUCGUUCGUUUGGCAAUAUCACUACGCCAUUUUGAUUUUCGCAAUUAGGCA